CACUAUAUGCCCAGUCUCAAGCCUGUCACUUGUGAGGGAAACAAGCCACCACCCGUGUGCUUUCACCUGAGUAAGUUCACCCCUGGGAUGAGCAAGGAGGGGACAGAGCUUUCCCUAAAGGAUAGAGCUGUGAUUGAGGUGAGCAAGGAGAAAGGGAGAUUGGUGGUUGGGAAGGUACCCGUCAGUGCGAGCUGCAAUAUUACUUCUUGUCUUUCUCAUGAUGGUUAGUAAAAGUCAAACCACACCAAGCAGGAUGAUGAGUGGAGGACUGUCAGGCCCUCAGAAAGGUCAUCCUCCAUGAGAUUAAGAGAAUUUCUGGUAAUCGGCCUAAAAGCUCAGUAUUAAGAUACCAAGUAUCUGGCAUUUUUCAUUAGAGAGAAAUACAGCAUUUAUUUAAAGUUUGUCUCUUACACCAAGUAUGCAGAAACAAAAGGGCUGAUUUAAAAUCAAACAGUUUUGAGGAGCUACUAAAUAUUCAUUGAAUAUUCAGCAAACAGUGUUGAAUAAAUUAAGUUCAGCCAUUAGUUUUCUAAUAGUCAGAUGAAUAGUCACUGAAGCAAAAAGGAGACAUCCAAGACCUAGAUGUAUUUUAGGCCCAAAGGAAUGAAAGUGACAUGAAAAGAAAAAAGCGCAUGGACAUUUUCCCUUUGCAUGGCUUCCAAACUUAGCAUCAAAGCAGGAGUUGAUUUUUCUCUGUAUUGUUUAACUGUAGAGGCCAUUAUGUCUUUUGAGCCCCAUAGAAUGCCUUUAGCUUAGCCUGCUGUUGAAUAUAUAAUGGGAAUGAAGAAUGAGAAAACUUUAAAAGAUUCAGCAAGGAGAAAAAAGAGUGAAUUGAGACUUCUGUUUCUGACUUCAUGGCUUAUAGUAUGGUGCUGUUGAGAGUGAGUUAAAAGUGACUUUAAAGAUGACAGAUUCAGUUUAAUACUUCGACAUCUGAUGCUCAGUGUGCUUAUUACAGUUUUUAAAAAUAAAGUUUGUCUUCAUUGUGAAAUAGUGAGGUGUAUCAGUUUGCUGAAAAACUUUAAGAGAUAUUUGAUCCAUUUAAAGUCUUUGAUCAUGAAUUGAUAAAUAAAGAAUNNNGGCAUUUAUCCUGCUUUUCCUGUAUGAAUUUCAUUGUGGGGUAAUCAAAUAGUUGGUAUGGAAAAUUUCUUGUAUUAGAAUCUUCCUAAUACAAUAGGAAGCUUAAAAAAAAAAAAAAGACUGAACUGAAUGGAAUCAAGCCUCUAGAUCUAAAUUCCAAUUUAAAUAAAAUAAGAAGGGUAGAGGAAAAAGUUGAACACUACCAUGAGGAAACAAGUCAAAUUUAGAAUGUAGAACAUUCCCUAGGACCAAUAAUUUUGUUUCUUCAGCAAAUAAAUGUCAUUGGUGGGGUAAGGCGGCAGGAAAACCAAGGUGGGGAGCGAAUUUUCUUAGAUUGAAAAGAUUUAAGAGGCAUAACAGCUGAGUAUAAAAUAGGAACUUUGGAUCCUCGUUUAGAUCUGUGUGUGCAUGCUCCAUUGUGACCGACUCUUU
rnacentral:lncRNA from 1 species